rnacentral:rRNA from 1 species
AGAGAGAGACAUGCGCGCAUAUCAAUAAGCGGAGGAAAAGAAACUAACAAGGAUUCCCUUAGUAACGGCGAGUGAAGCGGGAAGAGCUCAAAUUUGAAAUCUUCAAGGUUCUACCUUGACGAAUUGUAGUUUAUAGAAGUGUUUUCUGUUAGUGGAGUGGCAAAAGUUCUUUGGAAUAGGACAUCAUAGAGGGUGAGAAUCCCGUAUUUGGUCAUUCCUCCUAGCGUUGUGAUACACUUUCAACGAGUCGGAUUGUUUGGGAAUGCAGUCCAAAAUGGGUGGUAAAUUUCAUCUAAAGCUAAAUAUUGGCGAGAGACCGAUAGCGAACAAGUACCGUGAGGGAAAGAUGAAAAGAACUUUGAAAGGAGAGUUAAACAGUACGUGAAAUUGUCAAAAGGGAAGCGUUUGACACCAGUGUUGUUUUUCCGAAAAUCAAUUACGAAUGUUUUGUUUUUGAGGAGUUAUGACUUCAUCGGCUUGCUCCUUUCUUUAUGAAACUUUCUUAAUGCACUUUUCGGUUAACAAGUCAACAUCAAUUUCUUUUGUUGUAAAAUGUAUGAGGAAGGUAGCUUUCUUUUCGGAGAAAGUGUUUAUAGCCUUGUGCCUCUGCAAUCGGAGAGAUUGAGGUCUGCAGCGUAGAUCCUUCGGGGUUAGAUACGUUUGUGCUAAGUUAUAGCUUUUCAUAGACAACUUGUUGACUAUGUUUAGUCUUGUAGCUUACUCGCUGACGCUAUUUUACCUACGCUUAGGAUGUUGAUAGUCACAGCGUGUAC